GACGAACGCUGGCGGCGUGCCUAAUACAUGCAAGUAGAACGCAGUUGCGAACGGGUGAGUAACGCGUAGGUAACUGCCUCAUAGCGGGGGAUAACUAUUGGAAACGAUAGCUAAUACCGCAUACUGUGAGAUGGACCUGCGUUGUAUUAGCUAGUUGGUGAGGUGAAGGCUCACCGAGGCGACGAUACAUAGCCGACCUGAGAGGGUGAUCGGCCACAGUGGGACUGGGGUACUGCGCUGAGUCCUACGGGAGGCAGCGGGAGGGAAUCUGCGGAAAUGGACGGAAGGCUGACCGAGCAACGCAGCGUGAGUGAAGAGGGUUUUCGGAUCGUAGGGCUCUGUUGUUAGAGAAGCGUGAACUAACCAGAAAGGGACGGCUAACUACGGGCCAGCAGCCGGGGUAAUA
rnacentral:rRNA from 1 species